rnacentral:rRNA from 1 species
AUACGGAGGGUGCAAGCGUUACUCGGAAUCACUGGGCGUAAAGCGCGCGCAGGCGGUCUUUUAAGUUGGAUGUGAAAGCCUACGGCUCAACCGUAGAACUGCAUCCAAAACUAUUAGACUAGAGUGUGGGAGAGGAAGAUGGAAUUAGUUGUGUAGGGGUAAAAUCCGUAGAGAUAACUAGGAAUACCAAAAGCGAAGGCAAUCUUCUGGAACACUACUGACGCUGAGGCGCGAAGGCGUGGGGAGCAAACAGGAUUAGAUACCCCAGUAGUCC